rnacentral:rRNA from 1 species
GAUGAACGCUGGCGGCGUGCCUAAUACAUGCAAGUCGAGCGAACGGACGAGAAGCUUGCUUCUCUGAUGUUAGCGGCGGACGGGUGAGUAACACGUGGAUAACCUACCUAUAAGACUGGGAUAACUUCGGGAAACCGGAGCUAAUACCGGAUAAUAUUUUGAACCGCAUGGUUCAAAAGUGAAAGACGGUCUUGCUGUCACUUAUAGAUGGAUCCGCGCUGCAUUAGCUAGUUGGUAAGGUAACGGCUUACCAAGGCAACGAUGCAUAGCCGACCUGAGAGGGUGAUCGGCCACACUGGAACUGAGACACGGUCCAGACUCCUACGGGAGGCAGCAGUAGGGAAUCUUCCGCGAUGGGCGAGAGCCUGACGGAGCAACGCCGCGUGAGUGAUGAAGGUCUUCGGAUCGUAAAACUCUGUUAUUAGGGAAGAACAUAUGUGUAAGUAACUGUGCACAUCUUGACGGUACCUAAUCAAAAAGCCACGGCUAACUACGUG